rnacentral:miRNA from 1 species
UGACUGGCACCUCUGUGAGUGGA